AGUCGAGGGGUAACGAGAAGAUUCGUCUUUGUUCGACGACCGGCGGACGGGUGAGUAAUGUAUGGAAAUCUGCCUUUUAGUGGGGGAUAGCCUGGAGAAAUUCAGAUUAAUACCGCAUAAUGCCUACGGGUUAAAGGGGGGGAUCGCAAGACCUCUCGCUAAAAGAUGAGUCCAUAUGAGAUUAGCUAGUUGGUGAGGUAAAUGCUCACCAAGGCAACGAUCUCUAGCUGAUUUGAGAGAAUGAUCAGCCACACUGGGACUGAGAUACGGCCCAGACUCCUAUGGGAGGCAGCAGUAAGGAAUAUUGGACAAUGGAGGAAACUCUGAUCCAGCCAUGCCGUGUGUGUGAAGAAAGUCUUAGGAUUGUAAAGCACUUUUAGUGGUGAGAAACCAACCGGUACUAAUACUGCCGGUUGUUGAUGUUAGCCACAGAAAAAGCACCGGCUAACUCCGUGCCAGCAGCCGCGGUAAU
rnacentral:rRNA from 1 species